UACGGGGGGAGCAAGCGUUGUUCGGAUUUACUGGGCGUAAAGGGCGCGUAGGCGGUCGUGACAAGUCACUUGUGAAAUCUCCGGGCUUAACUCGGAGCGGCCAAGUGAUACUGUUGUGCUAGAGUGCGGAAGGGGCUACUGGAAUUCUCGGUGUAGCGGUGAAAUGCGUAGAUAUCGAGAGGAACACCUGCGGCGAAGGCGGGUAGCUGGGCCGACACUGACGCUGAGGCGCGAAAGCCAGGGGAGCGAACGGG
rnacentral:rRNA from 1 species